rnacentral:lncRNA from 1 species
UGUGAUUCCUAUGUUCACCCACUAUGGAAUCAGCAGGAGUGAAUGGGGACAUUCAGUGAGCUGCGAGUUCAGGGGAAGAAACUGAGGCUCAUGGUCCCAGAAGUAAUAAGCAUUAGAGGCAGAAUUUGAAUCCAGGUAAUCUUACCCCAGAAUGAGUUCUCUUUCUAUUCUACCAUAAUACUUUUCAUACCUUUGUAUUAUCUCUAAACUUGCUUGUAUAGGUGGUCACUCUUUACUAAUUCUAAAAGUUUGUUCAGAAAAAUUAUUUUCUCUUAGCAUUUGAUAUAUUCUGUCUUUACCAAGAUGAAAGAAAAUAUAGGAGAUCUGAAAAUAAAUAAGUUAAGAUUUGAAACUGUUGCA